rnacentral:snoRNA from 1 species
UGUGAAUGAUGAUCCCUCAUGCGUGUCAGCUGAUCCCAGAAUCUUUCUCGGUUCCUCUUGGGUCCCCCGGCGUUCUGUCGGGAGGGCGUGAGUGGGCCUUAAGGGGUCUGGGACCAUGAUCAGUGGUUAGGGAGACUGAACAUG